CGGCGAGUCCUGUACAAUCAGCUCCCUCUGAAUCCCCCAGGGCCGGAAGGCAGCAAGGGUAGGUAGGUCGUAGCGGUGUGAUAUAGGGUGCUCGCCACUU
rnacentral:SRP_RNA from 1 species